UACGUAGGGGGCAAGCGUUGUCCGGAUUUAUUGGGCGUAAAGAGCGUGUAGGCGGUUUGGUAGGUCCGUUGUGAAAACUCGAGGCUCAACCUCGAGACGUCGGCGGAAACCAUCUGGCUAGAGUCCGGAAGAGGAGAGUGGAAUUCCUGGUGUAGCGGUGAAAUGCGCAGAUAUCAGGAAGAACACCCGUGGCGAAGGCGGCUCUCUGGGACGGUACUGACGCUGAGACGCGAAAGCGUGGGGAGCGAACAGG
rnacentral:rRNA from 1 species